UAAUACAGAGGGGGCCAGCGUUAUUCGGAAUUAUUGGGCGUAAAGGGCGCGUAGGCGGCCAUGCGUGUCUUCCGUGAAAUCCCUCGGCUUAACUGAGGACGUGCGGAAGAAACUGCAAGGCUCGAGUCCGGGAGAGGGGGGUGGAAUUCCCAGUGUAGCGGUGAAAUGCGUAGAUAUUGGGAGGAACACCGGUGGCGAAGGCGGCCCCCUGGACCGGUACUGACGCUGAGGCGCGAAAGCGUGGGUAGCAAACGGGAUUAGAUACCCUGGUAGUCCACGCUGUAAACGAUGGGCACUAGGUGUCCGGGGUAUUGACCCCCUGGGUGCCGCAGCUAACGCAUUAAGUGCCCCGCCUGGGGAGUACGGUCGCAAGAUUA
rnacentral:rRNA from 1 species